rnacentral:sRNA from 1 species
UUAAUUUUUCCUAACUCUAAGAGCCCUAAAUCUAUAGGGAAAACAUACAAAAUCACAUUGAAUUACUUUUCCUUUUCUAAUAGUCUUACUGUAAUAUUUAAGUAACUAGAUAUUAACCUCCGGUAUACCGCAAGUAGGCUUAUAUUUUAGUUAAACUAAAAUUUUUUAUUGUAAAGAUGAUUUAUAAAUAUAUGAUAUUAUUUUAUUUGAUUUUAAAUGUAUAGUAAACUGCGAGUUGUAUAUGUUUUGUUGAUAUUAUUUAUAUUGUUUAGUGUUUAAGAUUAUAUACUUGUAUUUUAAUU